AAUUACAACCCUUAAAUAGAAUUCAUGCCACAUAUCGAAUUUACCGAGUAUCAUAAUUCUUCCAAGUGGUAAAGAUACCUCAAGACAAAUGCUGGGCAUAGAAGCCACAGGGCAUAAAUACGCAAAGAAGUAAAAAGCUAACCUUUUCAAACAAUAAGGCUUCUCUCUCACUUACCAACUUUACAUUUCCCUGUAUGGCCCCGGAAGAUGACUGGUUAGCCAGAGACGGCUAAGAUUCCUCAAGGGAGGAACAACCUAAGACAGGCACAGUCACAGGGGGGCCAUCAGGUGAGAAAUUGGGGAUCAACAGAGGUGAGGCUUAGAACCUCACCCCCCCUAACUUCACCCCCCCUGUUUUGAGAGAAAUCUUCUGCAUCCGUGGAUGUUUUGUUGUCCUUGUCUAGCUUGGAUUAACACUUAGUCUACAGGCACACACCUGAUCAUCUACAUUUGCCCUCUUACAGCACUAAACUAUGUUUUCUACCUCUAUCUUGCAUCUACCUACAACUUCAGCAUUUUAUUAAAAAUAAUAAUAAUAAUAAUAAGGGAGAAAUGUGGGAUUCACAUAUAAAUCAAGUAUAAAAAUCAAACGAAUAUUCACAUUUGACCUGAUUGUUUAUAGUUCAUAAUGCGUGAUCAAAACCGAAAGUUUCUGUGGUGACUGCCCUUGCACUGUUCACCAUGUAAGAACUUAUUCACUAUGUAAGAACUUGUUCACCAUGUAAGAACUUGUUUGUUAUGCUUUAGAAGAU